rnacentral:rRNA from 1 species
AACGAACGCUGGCGGCAUGCCUAACACAUGCAAGUCGAACGGGACCUUCGGGUCUAUGUGCGCACGGCUGCGUAACACCGGGGAACCUACCCUUAGGUUCCGAGUACCUCCCCGUAGGGGGUGCUAAUGCCGGAUAGUGUCUUCGCGCCAAAGAUGUAUCGCCGUUGGAUGGGCCCGCGUUGGAUUAGCUAGUUGGUAGUGUAAAAGCCUACCAAGGCCAGGUUGCAUAGCUGGUCUGAGAAGAUGAUACGUUACAAUUGAGAUGCGACACGGACCAGUACGGUAGGGAAGGGAGGAGUGGGGUAUAUUGGAGAAUGGGCGAAAGCCUGAUAAAGCAGUGUGGGGUGAGUGAUGAAGGCGGUAGGAUUGUAAAGCUGUUUGACCCGGGAUGAUAAUGACGGUACCGGGAGAAUAAGCUCCGGCUAACUCCGUG